UGGGGAAUAUUGGGCAAUGGGCGCAAGCCUGACCCAGCCACGCCGCGUGAGUGAUGAAGGCCCUCGGGUCGUAAAGCUCUGUGGGGAGGGACGAAAAAACGUUGGCUAAUAUCCAACGGCUUGACGGUACCUCCUUAGCAAGCACCGGCUAACUCCGUGCCAGCAGCCGCGGUAAUACGGAGGGUGCAAACGUUGCUCGGAAUCAUUGGGCGUAAAGCGCACGUAGGUGGUGAGACAAGUCAGGUGUGAAAGCCCUCGGCUUAACCGAGGAAGUGCACUUGAAACUAUCUCGCUGGAGUAUCGAAGAGGAUCGCGGAAUUCCCGGUGUAGAGGUGAAAUUCGUAGAUAUCGGGAGGAACACCAGUGGCGAAGGCGGCGAUCUGGGCGAUAACUGACACUGAGGUGCGAAAGCGUGGGGAGCAAACAGG
rnacentral:rRNA from 1 species